rnacentral:lncRNA from 1 species
GUCUGGCUCUGGUUCACAGAUAGAGAUCAGACCCAUCCCAUUUCCUGCCUCUAACUUCACUGUACUCUGAAUAAAGGGAAAUCAUGAGUCUGAAGCCUAACUUCCAACCUAUAUCUAUCCCACUCCCCCCUCAACACCUGUACUUUGCCCCUAGCUGUUCCCCAAGACCAAAUUUCCAAACUUCUCUCUCUCCCCUUGGCCUAGCAUCCUGGCUGACAGCAUCAUUCUCUCAGGUCUUCUAGGGACUGGUGAAGGCACAUUAAAUCUGUUGCUUAUGAGCACAAGUUUGUUUAGGGUAAAUCAGAGUUUACAUUUAGGAGAGCAUUCUGAAGGCUAGUUGUAUGGUGUCAUUUAUCCAAUCAUGAUCUACAGAUAAUAUCUGGGUAUGACUCUGCUUUGUUACUCAGGGUUAUAAGAAAUUAUAGAAUAAAAUAUUUGGGUUUCAUGAAGACCUACCUCAUGCUGACAGUCAUAAUUAUUUUUUGAACAAAUCAGUAUUUCCCUCAUGGGAAAUAAGCAACCAUGUUACUGCAGGUGAGAACAUAGGAAAAGGUUGUUGUUUUAAAUAUGCUAAUUUUUGUUAUCUACUUAUACAUUGGAGAGUACAAACUUCAAGAAAUAGAAUUGCAAAGUUCGACUUGGCUGUUGUUAGUGAUUCAGGAAUCACCAUAGACAGGCCCUCUGCUGAUGUGACAACUGUUGGUGGUUUCAUUACAGCCUAAGCAGGAAAAAGGGUACAAGAGAGUACAAAGGGCAGAUUGGUGACAUCAGCCUUCUCUUCUGGUCUAGGGACUUCCCUACCAUGCCUGCAAUGAUUGAUUGGACCCCCAUGAUUGGUUGAUGUGAAUCUCCUAUUAUUCUCUGUCUUUUGAUAUUGUUCACAAUCUGGGUUGUUUGAGUCUUUGGCUGUUAUUUUCUGAUUUCUUAGAAGGUUUGAUUUUACAAUUAAAUAGCUUAGGUUUAAUGACAGGGAUUCUUUGCACAGUGUCUCCAUUUUGGAUUAAUCUGUUAACCUCCUAGUAUACAUACACAAGCUCCAUCUCUAUUACAGCCCCCCCCCCAUAAAUUCUGUUUAAUAUAUCUCCUACUGAAA